rnacentral:rRNA from 2 species
UGGGGAAUUUUGCACAAUGGGCGCAAGCCUGAUGCAGCGACGCCGCGUGAGGGAUGGAGGCCUUCGGGUUGUGAACCUCUUUCGCUCAUGGUCAAGCCGCGGAUGUGUCCGUGGUGAGGGUAGUGGGUAAAGAAGCGCCGGCUAACUACGUGCCAGCAGCCGCGGUAAUACGUAGGGCGCGAGCGUUGUCCGGAAUUAUUGGGCGUAAAGGGCUUGUAGGCGGUUUGUCGCGUCUGCCGUGAAAUUCCCUGGCUUAACUGGGGGCGUGCGGUGGGUACGGGCAGGCUUGAGUGCGGUAGGGGAGACUGGAAUUCCUGGUGUAGCGGUGGAAUGCGCAGAUAUCAGGAGGAACACCGGUGGCGAAGGCGGGUCUCUGGGCCGUUACUGACGCUGAGGAGCGAAAGCAUGGGGAGCGAACAGG